UACGUAGGGCGCAAGCGUUGUCCGGAAUUAUUGGGCGUAAAGAGCUCGUAGGCGGCUUGUCACGUCGGAUGUGAAAGCCUGGGGCUUAACUCCGGGUCUGCAUUCGAUACGGGCUGGCUAGAGUGUGGUAGGGGAGAUCGGAAUUCCUGGUGUAGCGGUGAAAUGCGCAGAUAUCAGGAGGAACACCGGUGGCGAAGGCGGAUCUCUGGGCCAUUACUGACGCUGAGGAGCGAAAGCGUGGGGAGCGAACAGG
rnacentral:rRNA from 1 species